GCGCACAUAGCUCAAAGUAGAGCGGCAGCGCGAUAAGCUGCGUCACAUUGACGAUACACAGUCGGUGGAAUCGGCGUCUAGUCAGCAAAGAGGAAACCGACGGCGGUGAUGGUUCAAGUCCAUCUGUGCGCGCCA
rnacentral:tRNA from 1 species